rnacentral:tRNA from 1 species
UGGGGCGUGGCCAAGUGGUUAAGGCACCGGAUUUUGAUUCCGGCAUUCCCAGGUUCGAAUCCUGGCGCCCCAGCCA